CAUCAGCAGGUUGCUGUUAGUGCUCCUUUUCUGUUUCAUAUCCCACCUUUAUAUGUGUUGCCAGCCUUAGAUUUGAUGGAAGUGUUUUAGUGAAGUUCUAAUCAGUUCACACAGUGUGCUCCUCAUUACUCAAAGUUUGGCAAAUCACCAACAUAUUUGCUUUUUAAGUCACAUUAGGCUUGACAAAACUGGCCAGUUGAAGAUGGAUAAACGUAUUCUGGUGCGAUGAAUCUCUGUUUCUGCUGAUCGACUGCAUGAAUCCACCGACACCACCUGCCUUCCUGAAAGAGAUGGCAGCAGGAUACACAACAGGAAGAAGGCAAACCAGCAGUGUGAUGUUCUGGACAAUGUUCUGCUGGGGAAAACUGGGUCCCACUUUGCCCCGAGGUCACUGGGAUGUCAUCCAAGG
ensembl:lncRNA